AUUGAACGCUGGCGGCAUGCUUUACACGUGCAAGUCGAACGGCAGCGGGGUAGUGCUUGCACUACUGCCGGCGAGUGGCGAACGGGUGAGUAAUAUAUCGGAACGUACCGAGUAAUGGGGGAUAACCAAUCGAAAGAUUGGCUAAUACCGCAUACGUCCUGAGGGAGAAAGCGGGGGAUCGCAAGACCUCGCGUUAUUCGAGCGGCCGAUAACUGAUUAGCUAGUUGGUGGGGUAAAGGCCUACCAAGGCGACGAUCAGUAGCGGGUCUGAGAGGACGAUCCGCCACACUGGGACUGAGACACGGCCCAGACUCCUACGGGAGGCAGCAGUGGGGAAUUUUGGACAAUGGGGGCAACCCUGAUCCAGCCAUGCCGCGUGUAUGAAGAAGGCCUUCGGGUUGUAAAGUACUUUUGUUAGGGAAGAAAAGGGAAGUGCUAAUACCACUUUUUGCUGACGGUACCUAAAGAAUAAGCACCGGCUAACUACGUG
rnacentral:rRNA from 1 species